CUACGGGGUGCUCCAGUGGGGAAUCUUAGACAAUGGGGGAAACCCUGAUCUAGCCAUGCCGCGUGAGCGACGACGGCCCUAGGGUUGUAAAGCUCUUUCAGCAGGGAAGAUAAUGACGGUACCUGCAGAAGAAGUCCCGGCUAACUCCGUGCCAGCAGCCGCGGUAAUACGGAGGGGACUAGCGUUGUUCGGAAUUACUGGGCGUAAAGCGCGCGUAGGCGGAUUGUUAAGUCGGGGGUGAAAUCCCGGGGCUCAACCCCGGAACUGCCCUCGAUACUGGCAGUCUUGAGUUCGAGAGAGGUGAGUGGAAUUCCGAGUGUAGAGGUGAAAUUCGUAGAUAUUCGGAGGAACACCAGUGGCGAAGGCGGCUCACUGGCUCAAUACUGACGCUGAGGUGCGAAAGCGUGGGGAGCAAACAGGAUUAGAUACCCCGGUAGUC
rnacentral:rRNA from 1 species